AGAGUUUGAUCCUGGCUCAGAACGAACGUUGGCGGCGUGGAUUAGGCAUGCACGUCGAACGAAUCCCCUUUGGGUAACUGAGGGGGGAAGUGGCGAAAGGGGCAGUAAGGCAUGGGUAACCUACCCCGGGGACUGGGAUAGCUAUUCUAACGAGUAGGUAAUACCGGGCGAGGUAACGAGGGGGCAUCCUCUUGUUACGAGAUGAAUUUCGCCUUGGGAGGGGCUCAUGUAGUAUUAGCUAGUUGGUAGGGUAACGGCCUACCAAGGCUGAGAUGCUUAGCGGGUGUGAGAGCACGACCCGCGCCACUGGCACUGAGACACUGGCCAGACUCCUACGGGAGGCUGCAGUCGAGGAUCUUCGGCAAUGGGCGCAAGCCUGACCGAGCGACGCCGCGUGGGCGAUGAAGGCCUUCGGGUUGUAAAGCCCUUUAGUGGGAGAGGAAAGCGCAAGCUUGACCGACCCCAAGAAUAAGCACGGGCUAAGUUCGUGCCAGCAGCCGCGGUAAGACGAACCGUGCGAACGUUGUUCGGAAUCACUGGGCUUAAAGGGCGCGUAGGCGGCUUGCCAAGUCCGGGGUGAAAUCCUCCAGCUUAACUGGAGAAGUGCCUUGGAAACUGGCGAGCUCGAGGGAGGCAGGGGUCGUGGGAACUUCCGGUGGAGCGGUGAAAUGCGUUGAUAUCGGAAGGAACGCCGGUGGCGAAAGCGCACGACUGGUCCUCUUCUGACGCUGAGGCGCGAAAGCCAGGGGAGCAAACGGGAUUAGAUACCCCGGUAGUCC
rnacentral:rRNA from 1 species